GACGAACGCUGGCGGCGUGCUUAACACAUGCAAGUCGAGCGGUAAGGCCUUUCGGGGUACACGAGCGGCGAACGGGUGAGUAACACGUGGGUGAUCUGCCCUGCACUUCGGGAUAAGCCUGGGAAACUGGGUCUAAUACCGGAUAUGACCUCCUAUCGCAUGGUGGGUGGUGGAAAGAUUUAUCGGUGCAGGAUGGGCCCGCGGCCUAUCAGCUUGUUGGUGGGGUAAUGGCCUACCAAGGCGACGACGGGUAGCCGACCUGAGAGGGUGACCGGCCACACUGGGACUGAGACACGGCCCAGACUCCUACGGGAGGCAGCAGUGGGGAAUAUUGUACAAUGGGCGAAAGCCUGAUGCAGCGACGCCGCGUGAGGGAUGACGGCCUUCGGGUUGUAAACCUCUUUCAGCAGGGACGAAGCGCAAGUGACGGUACCUGCAGAAGAAGCACCGGCUAACUACGUG
rnacentral:rRNA from 1 species